GAAUUGGCUGACUGUAUUCCAAA
rnacentral:miRNA from 1 species